ensembl:snoRNA SNORA72 Small nucleolar RNA SNORA72
AUCUGAUAUUCUGGCUGUUCUGAUUCUGUCCAGACUCAGGACAGGCUACAUGCUCGCUACCGUGAGGCCACACGUGUGUCCCCAGACCUAGUUUGUAACCUGCCCAGGGCUGGUCUUAGAAACGGGGGGGGUAAGG